CUAGAGUUCGGGCUGCACGCGCGCUACACUGGACAGAGACAACGAGUGGGGCCCCUUGUCCGAAAUGACUGGGUAAACUUGUGAAACUUUGUCGUGCUGGGGAUGGAGCUUUGUAAUUUUUGCUCUUCAACGAGGAAUUCCUAGUAAGCGCAAGUCAUCAGCUUGCGUUGACUACGUCCCUGCCCUUUGUACACACCGCCCGUCGCUACUACCGAUUGAAUGGCUUAGUGAGGACUUGGGAGAGUACAUCGGGGAGCCGGCAACGGCACCCUGACGGCUCAAACUCUUACAAACUUGGUCAUUUAGAGGAAGUAAAAGUCGUAACAAGGUAUCUGUAGGUGAACCUGCAGAUGGAUCAUUUCGAUGAAAACCUUUUUUUCUGAGGUGUGGCUCGCACCUGUCCAACUAAACUUGAGCUCUCAUUUUAACACGGUUGCAUCGGUCGGGCUGUCUGUCGAAUAGCGCAAGCUAGGAAAACAGUCGCCUGACACUUUACACAAACACUUUUGAUGAUCUAGGAUUUGAACGAAGUUCAUUUUAUUGAUGGAACCGACUGGUAAUGCGGUCGUCUAAAUCUAUUUAUAUAUAACUUUUGGCAACGGAUCUCUUGGUUCUCCCAUCGAUGAAGAACGCACGAAUUGCGAUAAGUAAUGUGAAUUGCAGAAGUGAAUCAUCGAAUCUUUGAACGCACCUUGCGCUCCCGGCAGAUCUAAUCUGGGGAGCAUGCCUGUUUGAGGGCCGCGAAUUGUUUCGAACGGCAGCUUUUUUCCAAAGAGCUGACGGAACCGGUUUGAGGGUCUUUGCCAUUUACCGGGGCUCCCUCUAAAUGCAUUAACGCCAUCCAUUUUAUAGGCAAGACGGACGAAAGCUCCAUUUCUUUCCCUCCUUUUCUUUUCCUGCCGGGUUUUGAAAAAAUCCAAAACUUCC
rnacentral:rRNA from 1 species